rfam:Dictyostelium lacteum strain TK F4PJNLW01EE5MJ, whole genome shotgun sequence.
GUACGAAUGCGCGAGAGGUUUAAGCGGUUAGUUUCAGGUACUAAUGGGAAACCAUCGUGGGUUCGAACCCCACUUCGUACA